AGACCAGCACCUCAAGUGGUCAGGAGGAUUAUUGGGCCUAAAGCAUCCGUAGCCUGCUGCAUAAGUUUUCGGUUAAAUCCAUACGCUCAACGUAUGGGCUGCCGGGAAUACUGUGCAGCUAGGGAGUGGGAGAGGUAGACGGUACUCGGUAGGAAGGGGUAAAAUCCUUUGAUCUAUUGAUGACCACCUGUGGCGAAGGCGGUCUACCAGAACACGUCCGACGGUGAGGGAUGAAAGCUGGGGGAGCAAACCGGAUUAGAAACCCGAGUAGUCC
rnacentral:rRNA from 1 species